AGAGUUUGAUCCUGGCUCAGAUUGAACGCUGGCGGCAGGCUUAACACAUGCAAGUCGAGCGGUAACAGGGGAGCUUGCUCCUGCUGACGAGCGGCGGACGGGUGAGUAACGCGUAGGAAUCUGCCUAGUAGAGGGGGACAACAUGUGGAAACGCAUGCUAAUACCGCAUACGCCCUAAGGGGGAAAGGAGGGGACUCUUCGGAGCCUUCCGCUAUUAGAUGAGCCUGCGUGAGAUUAGCUAGUUGGUAGGGUAAAGGCCUACCAAGGCGACGAUCUCUAACUGGUCUGAGAGGAUGACCAGUCACACUGGGACUGAGACACGGCCCAGACUCCUACGGGAGGCAGCAGUGGGGAAUAUUGGACAAUGGGCGCAAGCCUGAUCCAGCCAUGCCGCGUGUGUGAAGAAGGCCUUAGGGUUGUAAAGCACUUUCAGGGGUGAGGAAGGGUAAUGGAUUAAUACUUCAUUACUUUGACGUUAGCCCCAGAAGAAGCACCGGCUAAC
rnacentral:rRNA from 1 species